CUGAUCAUGUGACCAAAUAGUUACGAGGAUGGUAUCAUUUAAUAAAGUUUGUGAAGAUGCCCGUCACGUCACCACGAAGAGACAAGAGAAAGGGAGAGUGUGACACAGAUGCCUCCCCCUGACAGAGAGACAGACAGGCGGACGGAGAGGUGUGGCGGAUCCCCGAGACGCUCUGCAGAGUUAAUAUUCCCUCUCUGAGCCACUGGCUACCGUGAGGAUCCAGGCUGACGUCAGGGAUAUUUCUGUCCAUCUCCUGGUCAGGGAGGGGUCAUUAACUCUAAUGCAUUAUUCACACAUGCUGCAUCAACCUAGACAGAUCUUAUCUCAGCAGGGCAAAGCAACUAUCAGCCCUGAAUAAACACUAAACCACUCCGCCUUCACACAUUUAAAUUAAUCCGUUCAGAGGGAAUUUAAAAAUAAAAGCGAUCGUUGUUCUUUCA